CAGCCGCCACGGGAAUACGUAGGGUGCAAGCGUUAAUCGGAAUUACUGGGCGUAAAGCGUGCGCAGGCGGUUUGUUAAGACAGAUGUGAAAUCCCCGGGCUUAACCUGGGAACUGCAUUUGUGACUGGCAAGCUAGAGUAUGGCAGAGGGGGGUGGAAUUCCGCGUGUAGCAGUGAAAUGCGUAGAUAUGCGGAGGAACACCGAUGGCGAAGGCAGCCCCCUGGGCCAAUACUGACGCUCAUGCACGAAAGCGUGGGGAGCAAACAGGAUUAGAUACCCCUGUAGUCCCUGUCUCUUAUAC
rnacentral:rRNA from 1 species